AUUGCACGCUGGCGGCAGGCUUAACACAUGCAAGUCGCGCGAGCGGCGGACGGGUGCGUCAUGUCUGGGAAACUGCCUGAUGGAGGGGGAUAACUACUGGAAACGGUAGCUAAUACCGCAUACCAUCAGAUGUGCCCAGAUGGGAUUAGCUAGUAGGUGGGGUAAUGGCUCACCUAGGCGACGAUCCCUAGCUGGUAUGCAAGUAUGACCAGCCACACGGGAACUGAGACACGGUCCAGACGCCUAGGGGAGGCAGCAGUGGGGAAGAUUGCACAAUGGGCGCAAGCCUGAUGCAGCCAUGCCGCGUGUGUGAAGAAGGCCUUCGGGUUGUAAAGCACUUUCAGCGAGGAGGCGUUACUCGCAGAAGAAGCACCGGCUAACUACGUGCCAGCCGCCGCGGUAAUAC
rnacentral:rRNA from 1 species